rnacentral:rRNA from 1 species
GGAGCCGUAGCGAAAGCGAGUCUGAAGAGGGCGAGCAGUUGGCUGACGCAGACCCGAAACCAAGUGACCUACCCAUGACCAGGUUGAAGGCGCGGUAAAACGCGCUGGAGGACCGAACCCACGUAAGUUGAAAAUUGCGGGGAUGAGUUGUGGGUAGCGGUGAAAUUCCAAACGAACUUGGAGAUAGCUGGUUCUCUCCGAAAUAGCUUUAGGGCUAGCCUCGCAAAGAGGAUGCUGGAGGUAGAGCUCUGUUUGGACUAGGGGCCCGUCAAGGGUUACUGAAUUCAGAUAAACUGCGAAUUCCAGACAUUUAUGUGCGGGAGUCAGACUGCGAGUGAUAAGAUCCGUAGUCGAAAGGGAAACAGCCCAGAUCACCAGUUAAGGUCCCAAAAUUCAUGCUAAGUGGAAAAGGAUGUGGAGUUGCGCAGACAACUAGGACGUUGGCUCAGAAGCAGCCAUCAUUCAAAGAGUGCGUAAUAGCUCACUAGUCGAGUGACGCCGCGCCGAAAAUUUACCGGGGCUAAGCAUGAUACCGAAACUGUGGAUGUGCAUUUAUGCACGUGGUAGGAGAGCGUUCUAGCGGCGGUGAAGCAUGACCGAGAGGACAUGUGGAGCUUCUAGAAGUGAGAAUGCCGGUAUGAGUAACGAAAGACAGGUGAGAAUCCUGUCCGCCGCAAGACUAAGGUUUCCUGGGGCAGGCUCGUCCGCCCAGGGUAAGUCGGGACCUAAGGCGAGGCCGAGAGGCGUAGUCGAUGGACAACAGGUUGAAAUUCCUGUACUGCACCGAAUCGUUAUGAGCGAUGGAGGGACGCAGGAGGCUAGCAGCGCGUGGUGCUGGAUACCACGUUCAAGCGUCAAGUCUGAGAGCGAGUCAAAUGCUUGCUCUCAUAAGGACAAGGCGUGAUGAGGAGCGAAAUUAAAGUAGCGAAGGCUGCGACGUCACACUGCCGAGAAAAGCUUCUAGCCAGAGACGGUGCACCCGUACCGCAAACCGACACAGGUAGUCGAGGAGAGUAUCCUCAGGUGAGCGAGAGAACUCUCGUUAAGGAACUCGGCAAAAUGGCCCCGUAACUUCGGGAGAAGGGGCGCUGGUCGCAAGAUCAGCCGCAGUGAAAAGGCCCAAGCAACUGUUUAUCAAAAACACAGGCAUCUGCAAAAUCGUAAGAUGAAGUAUAGGUGCUGACACCUGCCCGGUGCUGGAAGGUUAAGAGGAGAGCUUAGCGCAAGCGAAGGUUUGAAUUGAAGCCCCAGUAAACGGCGGCCGUAACUAUAACGGUCCUAAGGUAGCGAAAUUCCUUGUCGGGUAAGUUCCGACCUGCACGAAAGGUGUAAUGAUUUGGGCACUGUCUCAACGAGAGACUCGGUGAAAUUAUAAUACCCGUGAAGAUGCGGGUUACCCGCGACAGGACGGAAAGACCCCAUGGAGCUUUACUGCAGUUUAAUAUUGGGUAUCUGUCAAGCAUGUACAGGAUAGGUAGGAGCCGGAGAAGAUAGGACGCCAGUCUUAUCAGAGGCGCUGUUGGGAUACUACCCUUGCUUGACGGAUGCUCUAACUCAGGCCUGUGAUCCAGGCCGAGGACAGUGUUUGACGGGCAGUUUGACUGGGGCGGUCGCCUCCUAAAGUGUAACGGAGGCGCCCAAAGGUUCCCUCAGAAUGGUUGGAAAUCAUUCGCAGAGUGUAAAGGUAAAAGGGAGCUUGACUGCGAGAGAGACAACUCGAGCAGGUACGAAAGUAGGGCUUAGUGAUCUGGUGGUACCGUAUGGAAGGGCCAUCACUCAACGGAUAAAAGCUACCCUGGGGAUAACAGGCUUAUCUCCCCCAAGAGUUCACAUCGACGGGGAGGUUUGGCACCUCGAUGUCGGCUCGUCGCAUCCUGGGGCUGAAGUCGGUCCCAAGGGUUGGGCUGUUCGCCCAUUAAAGCGGCACGCGAGCUGGGUUCAGAACGUCGUGAGACAGUUCGGUCCCUAUCCGUCGUGGGCGUAGGAAAUUUGAGAGGAGCUGUCCUUAGUACGAGAGGACCGGGAUGGACGCACCGCUGGUGUACCAGUUGUCUUGCCAAAGGCAUCGCUGGGUAGCUAUGUGCGGACGGGAUAAGCGCUGAAAGCAUCUAAGUGCGAAGCCCCCCUCAAGAUGAGAUUUCCCAUUUCUU